rnacentral:lncRNA from 1 species
GUGCCCAUGGCUGGGCUGGAUCCCACGACCCUGAGAUCAGGACUUGAGCCGAAAUCAAGAGGCAGAUGCUCAACCGAGCCCCCCAGAGGCCCCCCAGCUGCUUUUCAAUGCUUAUUUAUGCAGAUAUGAUUUCUCACUUAUGGUUUGCUUCAUACCAUAAUCCCUCUUUUAAACCUUUUUUUUUUUUUUGCACUUAACCUAUUGCAUCAUUUUCCCUGCCAUGAAAUGUUCUGGAAGUCUCUUACUGCAGAGUUUAACGCGGGUAAGAAUCCAGAGCCACUCCAGACCCCUAGUCAGGCGACGCAGCAAGGGGAGCCCCAGUAUGCGAACCUGGAGCUGCAGACGUGGCCCCUUCGGGGAGAGCCCAUGCACCCCAGGCAGGUGGAGGUGGAAUACAGCACAGUGAAAGCUCCCAGGGAAGAGCCUCACUACUCGUC